GAGUUUGAUCCUGGCUCAGGAUGAACGCUGGCGGUCUGCUUAACACAUGCAAGUCGAACGGACUUCUUCGGAAGUUAGUGGCGGACGGGUGAGUAACGCGUGAGAAUCUGCCUUCAGGUUGGGGACAACAGUUGGAAACGACUGCUAAUACCCAAUGUGCCGAAAGGUGAAAGGUUUACUGCCUGAAGAGGAGCUCGCGUCCGAUUAGCUAGUUGGUGGGGUAAAAGCCUACCAAGGCGACGAUCGGUAGCUGGUCUGAGAGGACGAUCAGCCACACUGGGACUGAGACACGGCCCAGACUCCUACGGGAGGCAGCAGUGGGGAAUUUUCCGCAAUGGGCGAAAGCCUGACGGAGCAAGACCGCGUGGGGGAGGAAGGUUCUUGGAUUGUAAACCCCUUUUCUCAGGGAAGAAGAAAGUGACGGUACCUGAGGAAUCAGCAUCGGCUAACUCCGUGCCAGCAGCCGCGGUAAUACGGAGGAUGCAAGCGUUAUCCGGAAUAAUUGGGCGUAAAGCGUCCGUAGGUGGCAAUUCAAGUCUGCCGUCGAAGACCGGGGCUUAACCCUGGAAAGGCGGUGGAUACUGAACAGCUAGAGUGUGGUAGGGGUAGAGGGAAUUC
rnacentral:rRNA from 1 species